CAAACUUGGAGUUGGGCUGGUGAAAAAUGCACCAUCCAGGAGCUGCGGCUUCUCUGAAAUGCAGGAUGAACCGUCCCUCGUGAUCCCAGCCCAAAAUGAGUGAGGGGUGAGAUAAGGAACACUUGUGUUGUUAUUUACGACCGUGGCGCGGAGCUCUGGCCCCUUGUUUGUCAUGACUUGCCUCUUUGGCGUUAGAUCAAAGAGGAUAAUUAAAGGAGCACAGCGGGAAAGAGAAAAGUGGCUGUUGCAGAGGAGCAUUUCACACAUGCAGGCACUGAGCGCCGGGUUCCUGCUUCGGGGUCGGGGCCUCACAAGGUGCAGGUGUCCGGGCAGGAGGGGACACAGGGACCCCGGCUCUCCCUGUGACCAUAACACCAUCCAGCAAAUGUCAUAUACAUAUAUACACACACGGAGUAGCAUUGUUAGUCAAAUACUGGGAAAUGCUAGCAUCUCAUUGAAACUAUCCUGAUUGGGGGCUCACAAAAAUUUAUAGAAUGCUCACUAAAAUGAAAUCCAUGUCAGCCUUUGGAAAUUUUGUUAAUGUCCUUUACAGGAUAACUUUAAGUCAUUUAAUAUUUUCACAGUGGUGAUAACUCUGUCGAAACAAAGUGUUCUUCAGUGCAUAUAAAAAUAAUCUGUGCAUCCUAUCUGAAAUCGAUGGGAGUCAUUAGAAAGUUUUGUCUUUUGAUCAAGCUCAGUGGCUUUCUCAAAGCUUCCCACCAUCCCCACGGCAACACGGGUGCAGUCCCUGACUAUGGAGCUGUGUGUCCAUACAUUGUCAUACGCUGUCCAUAUAUUGUCCUGGGCUGAAUUUGCUCCAAAUGAUAUCUGCUUUCGCAAGACAUACGGAUUCUUCUCAGAUUUUUAUUGCUUUAUAUUAGAUUUUAUUCUCCUUAUAAAGGUGAAAGUCAAUGUAGUAAAUCUGUAUGUAAAAAUAGACUGUAUUUGUUGGUGUCUUCUACCCUGUUGACUGCUCUCAACAUGCCCAGACUACACACACAUAUGUUAUCGCUCUCCCAGGCUUUAGAAAUUAGUCAUUUUUUGUGUCAUUCUAAUGACAGAUCUCCACUAUAAUGAGGUUUUAUCCUUUUAAAACAAAAUAACUUUUAUUAAUUCCUUGCAUUAAUAAUUGAAGGCUUGACUUUUGGAGGGGGGGCAGGUGUUUGUUGUGAUUAAUAGCGCUCAUUCCCUGCAUAUCACAGAACUUUACUAAAUCUUAGUAAUGGUGUGGGGGUCAGUGGCACUGUUAUUAAUAGUAAUGAUAAUUAUAUCUUUGGGAAGCUGUCAGGAAAGUAUCUUUUGUACAAGUCAGAGCAGUGUAAACAGACUGUACAGGCAGGCACUACCCUUUCCAUCAAUAGGUAAACAAUCUUUUGUUAAGCUCGUCUUGAUAGUCUUAUUUUGUUGCCACAUUUUAAUUACUCAUCCUGUCUGUUUAUAUUCCGAUGUGUUUUGCUGAAGAUACAAGCUUUAAAAAUCAUUGGUAUUUAGGAAAAUCCAAAGCUGGGGUGAUGCAUGCUCAGGUGCUAAUUUAUUUACAUCAAUUAAUUUCAGGCCCCUGAUGUAAACCAAUUAGUAUUCAACACUUAAUGGAGUCAUUAUCUGUCAGAUUAGCUUUUAGAAAUGCUUGUCACUGCUACAGGACCAGGCAGCAGAACUUUGCUAAUAAAACUAGCAGAAUUAAUGGAGUGAACAGCAUAGAUAAUGACUUAAUGUGGAACAUACAGUAUAGAAAAGAGACUGAACAACUGUCUUCAAGAAAUGAAGAUAUCAUUGAGCCAGCUACGUUAUUCCAAAAAUGAGCUCAGAUGGUGCUCUUCAGAAACAUCAAAAGUGUCUCGUGAAGCGUUUGCAAAAGUUACGUUUCCUAAUAAAUAAUUUUCAACCUUUGUGCCCUCACAUAGACACAAUCUACCUUUCUGUCUUGAUGUGGCGUGGAAAUAAAUGCUGCUGUGGCCUGAAGCUGUUAUUGCCAAAGGGUUAAGAGUUAAUGGGAGUGACAAUAUCCAGGUUACUGAGCUGCUUCUGUGGGUGUCACCUGCAAACUGUGGGCUGUAAAACUUCUCCAGGUCAGACUUCCUUUUGUGAAAUGCACUUUUCACCUAACUUCAGGGCCACGGGACCCUGCAAAAUAAAUUAUAUUAGAGAAAGUCGGGCAGGAGAUUAAAAUUAUCUAGGCAGGCAAGACUGGCAUCGUACCGCUAAUCACCUGGGGAGAUCUGCAAACAGCAAUGAACUUCCAAAAAGCAUCGCUACAGUUAUAUAUGUUUUCAGAAGCUUUCCUCCUGGUGUGAGGUGACAGCAUUUGCCCAUAGUUUUGUUCUUCUAGGUUAAGUUACUUUUUUUUUGCGUUUCACCAAGGAGGUUUUUGCAGUUUUCCAUUUGUGAUUUGUGGUUAUCCUGGUUAUUCUAGUGCCUCAGUGACAGAUUGCACCCCACUUCGUGCUCAAGUUGUCCUUGCAUGGGGGGCAAUCACAAAACUUCAGUCCAAUUUAAACUUUUAAAGAAGAAUACAAGUACAGUUUAAAAAAAAAUCAUACAUUGUAUAUUUGCAUAGUAAUUCCUGUGAUUUAUGCUUUACCAGGAACCGUGGCACGUACCCGCAUACGAGUUUGCAAUAACACUGACCUCGCUGUGGGGACAGUCCUGCACCGUCCUUCUCCUAUCUGUCCUACUUGUGGUGGUGACAGGCUGGCUUGGGGGCCCUGGGGUCAUGAGUAUGUGUGUAAUUGCAUGAGGAAUUCCUCUAUUGCAAAUAUAUGUAUGACUGUAUUGGAAGAAAAGUCACUACAACCGAUUAUCUAAGCCACAGUGUCAAUGUCCGUAUUCCCAGGUGCCCUUUGCUUUCAGAGUUUUCCUUGUCACAGUAUCAAAACUUGAAUUUUACCUUAUGUUAAGAAAUGAUAAAGAUAUUAGUGUUAUUUACUAUUCUUACUUAGUUUAGCUUUUGGUUUGGUUUUGGUUUUGCCAGCUCUUUUUUUCCCUUGCUGCUCACUUGAACCUGAAUGGCCUCUUGUUCUUGCCAGGUAACCAGAUUAGUUUCUAUAGUUUUAGGUUAUGCACUAUUUAGGUAACACUGUAGGAUGGUUGUCUUCAACCUUAGAGAUGAUUCCAUGUCGUACAGAUUUUUCAAGUCUCCCUCCUUUAAGUAACUGCAUUAGCACCUUAUAAAUCUCACCUAUCCUUGUAUAGCUGUUGUAUGUAAACACUGGUGGCCACUUACAUAUUGGUUAUUUUUUUUGCAUCAGUUCUGUUUGUUCUCAAUGAUGAUUUUCCACCACCCCAGAGGGACUCAGUUUAUGGCUGUAAAAAUGAACAGUCACGUUUGAUUUUCAGUAUGGCACGUGGCUAGUGAGAAAUGGGGGACCAUGCACCCCCUCCAGAAAAAUCAUCUUGCUUCAGCUCUGCUGCUCAAGAAACUUGCUCGUAUUCUGAGGCUUCCUUCUAGGAGUGUCCUGGGGAGAAUGGAGACCGAGUGGUUUUGUCUUUGACUUGUAGGGCAUACAGGAGUUGAUGUAGAACUUCCCAAACUCCCAGUAUUUGAAAAAGCACUUAGUGAUCGACAUAUCGUACCCAUCCUCCAUGAAACCAUGACCAACUGCCAUCCAAACACCCAUGGGACAGAGGCUUUAGGAAUAUCGGUGACAGAGAGAAUAUUUGCGGAUGUAUUUUUUCAGUAAUCGCAGCAGAAAAUCCUCAGAUGUGUGACUUUCUCCUUCCAGCUGAUUGUCUACGUGAUCCCCGGGGUGGGAGAACUUGGAGUACGAGGAUGGCGACAUUUGGCCAGGCAGCCUUGGGAAGGUACCGCUGGUGACAGAGGGACAUGCACGGGUUUGGGACUCUGCCAGCUGCAGGGUUCUUGGUGACUCUUGGCAUUUGUGUUACAGUGUGACAUGAUGCCGCAAGAGUGUCUGCAAAGAACAACAGCUCCAGAAGGCCCCAGACACAACGUUAUUGCUGCAAAUCAGGUCCCAGGAGCUCUGCAGUCACCCAGAGCUCUUAUUUCUUGGUGCAACAUCAGUCACACAUCAGGAUCUUCCAGGUUUCUGGCUACUCCCUGGCCAUCAAAACCUGCUAAUUUGUGGGGUGCAUUGAACUGAAGCCUGCUGCUGUCCCACUUUUCAGAGGACCUUUCAAAGUACGGUGAGCACCUGUUGGACGGGCUCCUGCCCUUCCUCUGGCUCCUUUGAUCCUCUGUGUGUUCACAUGUGCCUGGCUGUCUAUUUAUUAUUUGAUAUCACCAUCCCUCACAGUUCAAAGAAAUCUGGUUCUCCAUUACUUUCUCCUGCAUUGCUCGUCACGCUGGGGAGAAAUUCUCCAUCACUAGCAGCAGCUUUUGGCUUCAAAUUUCCCUUUAAAUUUCUCCAGUGUGGUGCCGGAGGAACAUUGCUGGGGAUUAAGCUGCUGAGAUGGUACGACUGGUAUCUGUUGCAUCACCCUGGUCAAAACUGUAGGAUAUGGGAAUGGAAAACUAAUAAAUAAGUCAUCCUUCAUCACUUCUCAUGUAAAAUUGCUCAGGAAUAACGAAGCCCUCAGUUCAUCUGUUCCUUGUUGUGUUACCAAGACUCUGCUCCCAUGUAUUCAUAGGGUUGAAUCUUGGGGAGUAAUAACAGCAACUAUUAUUAGGGGACUAAUAACUAACUAACAACAACUAAUAACACAGACAGAUCUGGGGGGUGUGGGGUGUGUUGAGAGCCUGACUGAGGAAGGUAUAAGUUGUUCGUGUUCAUCAGUGCUCAUUAAUGUACUCUAGCCAUCUUACAACACACAGUGAAAUUAAGAUGCAAUAUAUCUAGAAUAGCUACAAAGAAAAAAUAUGCGCAGUGUUUAAUUGGCCUAUAAAACUCACUGUUAUGUGUAAAAUCAAAGCAGAGAGCUUGUGGUGGUCUGAGCGGGCCUCAAGGAGCUGGUGGGAACAGGAGUGGUGUUCCCAGCAGCAUGGCUCUGUGACAGUAGUCUCAAAAAGCUUUAUUUUUGGCAUUUUAGCUUAAAAACUCUCAGGAUUGCUGGAAACAUCUAGUCUCUGUUUAAGUUUCCUAAUUUCCACUGGUGCAUCUGCUGCUGAUCAGUGUUGGAGGUGGGAUGAUGGGUGAGAUGGGUCACUGGUACCUUCUGGUUGAGUGAUCUGUCACUGUGUCGUGUUACGUGUGGUUUAGGUUCAUGGUGUCAUCUCUUCCUUUUUAACUAUUUCAAAGGAGUGAAUUAAUAUUGUGCUGGUUUUGUACUCUCAUUACAAAUGUUGCCUUCAGAAGGAAUUUGUGCUUUGCCAUUUUCUGUUCUCGUUACAGUGUUUGUUAUGAGAAUGAGGUAUCAUAAUUUUAAUGCCUGGUAUAGCCUGUGAAAGCCUGUAAACAUUUAAUAGACUCAUAAACAUAGACUUUAACCUUUUCAAUAUUCUGUAGCUGGAUUGGCCCCCGCUGCAAACGCAUCCCCACCAGUUACCGCUGCGAACACAAGGGAUGGCCACAGCGAGGGAAUCAAACAGCAGAAAUCCCGAAAAGGUCAAAGCAGCGCAGUUUACUAUUAUCUUCCUUAGAAUAUAUGAGGCGUUACAAUUCCAAUACUGCGGUUUUGUGGCUUAGGUUGGGGCAAGAGGAAGAAAUGGCAUGAGAUAAAUCUCUUCUGAAGACAGUCAUUGUAAUGGGGGUGGAAACGGGCACCCACUGGCCUCAUCCCUUUUAACUCUCCUGUGGCCACACUGGGUGUCCAUCUGCCUCCUGCCACAUCUCCCACCUUGUCCUGCCUUCCAUUCGCACAAGAGGUAGCAACAAGUCAGAAUGAAUUGUGCUCGUGUUUUCUUUAGAUUAGGAAAACCCUUCUCAAGACUUGCCUGUUAAAGUGGUUGCUUGGUUUUCUUUCAUUUGAUGUGCUUUAUUUUGUAUAAAACAGCAAAAAGUCUUUUAUGGUCAAGGAUUAAGAAUCUUACUGAGCAGAAAAGGUUCACAGUGAGUUUGAUGCUUCAGAUGUGGGGUAGCUGGAGGUCAUCUGAAAUUGGUGUGCAGCAUAGGAAGUGGACAUAAACCAAUGCAGACUUUAGUUUUUAAUCUGGAUUUAGGAUGAAGAUAAUGUAACAGGUGCUCUCUUUUACUGAAUUGGGUUUGAAUUUCUCCACACGCUACUUUUGUCUGAGCAGUGGUAUUGGGAGAUAUUCAAUAACACUUGUUCCCAGGAAGCAAAAAGCCCCUGCAUAGAGGGUUGGGAGCCAGCACCGAGUAUUAGAUGUGCAGGUUCUGGAGUGAAGUUCUGUGACUCGAAUGACCAGCUCCGUGGGGUCAGCUGCAGAAGAGCACAGAUCGCAGCAGGGGGAGCCCAGGACCAUACCUGACCAUGUUUUCUACUUGUCUGAAUCCCAUCUUGGGGCGUCCGCAGCAGCACGGGGGUCACGGUUUUCCCAGGUCCAGCUCAGGCAGGCUCGAGCGAUGCUCAGGCACAAAUGUUCUCCUCUGCGGGGAACCGAAUCCUCAGAAAUCACAGUUUUAAAUUUGCUCGUAUACCAUCCUGAAAAAUCUUUGAACUUCAGCUUUGUACUCAAAAUCUAAUCCCAUUACAACUGUCUUACUAUGCAACUGAAUAUUUUUCUGAGAAAACCAUUGCCAGUCACAUUACCAUAUAUUCAUUUCUCUGUAGAUCUUGUUACAAAGGCAGAUUUCCUUAGGCUGUACUACAGCUUUACUAUGAAGAACAUAAGAUAGUAAAACCUAUGCUAUUACUUCUUCCAUUUAAAAAGUUAUCAUGGCAAUAUAAUUUUGAGUGUGUUGCAUCCUCUGUCUGCUGCAGUUAUGAGAAGUUUUGGCUGAGCAGGGCAGGAUUUCAUGUUUAUAAAAUGCCACAUUGUUCCUGCACUCGUGCUGGGUUUACGUAGCAUCACCUAUAGAGAGAUUCACCCACUCUAUUGAAAAGCAGGGUUGUGCAGAAGGAUUCAACCCUACGAAAGCUUUACGUGGACAGAAUUCCCAUGCCUGAAUUGCUUCCUUCGUGAGAAAGCUGCAUCAAAGGUAACAAAGUUUUCAAUCAAUAGUCUAAAUGUAUGCAGAGCUGUAAUCUUCCUGAAGAUUUAGUAAUCUCCCAUGACGUUUACAGGACAGUUUCUGCAAACUCAGAAUUCCAGCACUGAAUUAGCGUUUCUUAAGAGAUCCACUGUGUCCAUAUGGUCUGUACGGAGCAAGGAGCAGCAAAGUAUCGCAAACCCCAGGUUUGACAGCGUUUGUAUUUAUGUGUUAGCAACUCCAUUUUCAGGAUUCAGGAGAAAAAGAAAAUUAAAAAAAAUUUAAAAAGCUGUGUGUAAUUUUCCAAGUGCAAGUGUUUUCUGGCAGGUUUUUAUUUUUUCCUUCCCUGGCUCCAGUAUGGAGCCCUGGAAAGCCCCGCACAAGGGCAGCCCCUGCUUUUCCCCAGUAACUGCAACAGAAUUUGUGCUGCGGAGUCGGACCCCCAGCACCUGCUGGGCACCUUUCAAGCUGCUUUAGCUGGAUCACAAGUUCCUAACUGUAGAUAGAUGUAACAGAGGCUAAUCCCAUAAUCUAGACAGAAGUACAAGCCCUGAACAGGGAGCAGCAUUUGCGCUCCAGCCGACAUGGCAGGAGGAGUUCAGACGUCGUCAUUCCCCCCCACCCUGAGCCACUUUCUGGUGAGUAAGAUCUGUGGGUUGACUUCAUUUGUUUUGUAUUUUAUUUUUCCUUCCCAAAGUCUGAAGAUAAAAUGUGCAAAACAAAACUUCAUGCUAUGGCCAAAAGGCAAAACAACUUUGGUUCAGAAAUGGCAAUUCUAAAUCGGGUAGAUAUUAUUUGUACUUGAAGUGCAAAAGUCAAAGACUGGCGUAAUUUUUAAAAAAUAUAAAAUAAAAUCCAGCAGCAGAAUAAUGGAGCAGAGUUUUCAGUUCUUUAAUAGCAGCAGGAAGGAGAGGGGCUGCUGCCCAGCUUCUCACAGUCACGGCUUGAAAUAUCCAUAAUUUAAAAAAGUACUUCUGCAGCAGCAGAUGCCUUGGUGUGGUUUCAGCACAGAACAUUGAUUGGAGCUGCGCGGAGCUGCAGAGCCGGGACCCAGCGAUCGAUAGCGCCGCAGAACCAGAGCCUGCAGAGACGGAUGGAGCCUUGAAGGAGCUCGUGCAGGGACACAAAUGAAUAAUUUCAUUUGCAUGGAGGAGCUCACUGAGUUGCGUGGAAACUGCUCGGGGCUGCUGUGAAGAGCUUUACCUCUCGGGACCCUGCAUGUUAAGAGCCAGCGUGACCACAUAGGGUACAGGAUUGUGUGCUUGUUGUAACCAGUGUGGGAAGGUGCCUGCUGGGUUAUUAGAGACAAGAGAGCUCCCUGCUCGCUCGGGUCACUUCUCAGGACUCCUAAAGGUAAUUUUCCCCUCCCCUAAACUGUUCGCAGAAGGGUUGGCUAUUGUUUUCUCCAAGGAUCAGCUUCAGGAGGGGGGGAAAGAAAAAAAUAAAAGGCCAUUUCUCUGGCGAUGCCGUGAAGUUUGCUGCUUUCCUGCCUUCCCCCACAGCACCCCCUCUCCUCCCCUGGCCCGACCCUGCUGCCGGGGAUGGAGCUUCCCCGUUUCACCCCAUUAGAUGUGAUUAACUGUUAUUGUUCCUCCCGAACACGCCACUUCCCGCCCAGGGGAGCGGGGGGCGGCCCGGGGCUGAGCCGGGGGGUCGGGGCGCAGGAGCCGCUCCCGGUGGCGGCGGCCGGGGGGUGCGGAGGGAAAGACGGAACA